UACGGAGGGUGCAAGCGUUGUCCGGAUUUAUUGGGUUUAAAGGGUGCGUAGGCGGUUCUUUAAGUCCGGGGUGGAAGCCCACUGCUCAGCAGUGGAACUGCCCUGGGAAUUGGCGAACUUGAGUACAGACGAGGGUGGCGGAAUGGAUGCUGUAGCGGUGAAAUGCAUAGAUAGUAUCCAGAACCCCGAUUGCGAAGGCAGCUGCCUAGACUGUAACUGACGCUGAGGCACGAAAGCGUGGGGAGCGAACAGG
rnacentral:misc_RNA from 1 species